rnacentral:rRNA from 1 species
GAUGAACGCUAGCGGCAGGCCUAAUACAUGCAAGUCGAACGGGAUCCAGAUCAAAGCUUGCUUUGGUCUGGUGAGAGAGGCGCACGGGUGCGUAACGCGUGAGCAACCUACCCUUGUCAGGGGGAUAGCCCGGCGAAAGUCGGAUUAAUACCGCAUGACAUCAUUGAGAGGCAUCUUUCGAUGAUCAAAGAUUUAUCGGACAAGGAUGGGCUCGCGUGACAUUAGCUAGUUGGUAAGGUAACGGCUUACCAAGGCUGCGAUGUCUAGGGGCUCUGAGAGGAGAAUCCCCCACACUGGUACGGAGACACGGACCAGACUCCUACGGGAGGCAGCAGUAAGGAAUAUUGGUCAAUGGACGGAAGUCUGAACCAGCCAUGCCGCGUGCAGGAAGACGGCCCUAUGGGUUGUAAACUGCUUUUAUACGGGAACAAACGUCGGUACGUGUACCGGUCUGAGUGUACCGUAAGAAUAAGGAUCGGCUAACUCCGUG